rnacentral:rRNA from 1 species
AGAGUUUGAUCCUGGCUCAGGACCAUCGCUGGCGGCAUGCUUAACACAUGCAAGUCGAACGGAAAGGCCCUUCGGGGUACUCGAGUGGCGAACGGGUGAGUAACACGUGGGUGAUCUGCCCUGCACUUUGGGAUAAGCCUGGGAAACUGGGUCUAAUACCGAAUAUGACCACGCGCUUCAUGGUGUGUGGUGGAAAGCUUUUGCGGUGUGGGAUGGGCCCGCGGCCUAUCAGCUUGUUGGUGGGGUAAUGGCCUACCAAGGCGACGACGGGUAGCCGGCCUGAGAGGGUGACCGGCCACACUGGGACUGAGAUACGGCCCAGACUCCUACGGGAGGCAGCAGUGGGGAAUAUUGCACAAUGGGCGCAAGCCUGAUGCAGCGACGCCGCGUGAGGGAUGACGGCCUUCGGGUUGUAAACCUCUUUCAAUAGGGACGAAGCGCAAGUGACGGUACCUAUAGAAGAAGGACCGGCCAACUACGUGCCAGCAGCCGCGGUAAUACGUAGGGUCCGAGCGUUGUCCGGAAUUACUGGGCGUAAAGAGCUCGUAGGUGGUUUGUCGCGUUGUUCGUGAAAACUCACAGCUUAACUGUGGGCGUGCGGGCGAUACGGGCAGACUAGAGUACUGCAGGGGAGACUGGAAUUCCUGGUGUAGCGGUGGAAUGCGCAGAUAUCAGGAGGAACACCGGUGGCGAAGGCGGGUCUCUGGGCAGUAACUGACGCUGAGGAGCGAAAGCGUGGGGAGCGAACAGGAUUAGAUACCCUGGUAGUCCACGCCGUAAACGGU